AUUGAACGCUGGCGGCAGGCCUAACACAUGCAAGUCGAGCGGAUGAAGGGAGCUUGCUCCUGGAUUCAGCGGCGGACGGGUGAGUAAUGCCUAGGAAUCUGCCUGGUAGUGGGUGAUAACGUCCGGAAACGGGCGCUAAUACCGCAUACGUCCUGAGGGAGAAAGUGGGGGAUCUUCGGACCUCACGCUAUCAGAUGAGCCUAGGUCGGAUUAGCUAGUUGGUGGGGUAAAGGCCUACCAAGGCGACGAUCCGUAACUGGUCUGAGAGGAUGAUCAGCCACACUGGAACUGAGACACGGUCCAGACUCCUACGGGAGGCAGCAGUGGGGAAUAUUGGACAAUGGGCGAAAGCCUGAUCCAGCCAUGCCGCGUGUGUGAAGAAGGUCUUCGGAUUGUAAAGCACUUUAAGUUGGGAGGAAGGGCAGUAAGUUAAUACCUUGCUGUUUUGACGUUACCAACAGAAUAAGCACCGGCUAACUUCGUG
rnacentral:rRNA from 1 species